GAGGGUAUAGCUCAGUGGUUAGAGUGUGUGUUUAGCAUGCACAGGGUCCUGGGUUCAAUUCCCGGUACCUCCA
rnacentral:tRNA from 1 species